UGAUUUGGUUGUAGCUUCUCCUGUGGAGGAUUACUUUUUAUACAUUGAUGAUCUGAAAAAUCCUGAUAAGGAAGAAACUGAGAAAAUUACACAACCAUAUUUAGAUGCUCUUGGUGAAGACUAUUCUGUUUGUUGCCUAGGAACUGCUUUUUUUCCUCUGCAAAGCUGCAUGAACCAUUCCUGUAGUUCUAAUGCCAAAGCCUUCAAGAGAGACGAGGAUAGGGAUGGCCAAGCAACCAUAAUUGCAGUAAGGCCGAUUCGAAAAGGAAAAGAGGUUGGUUUGUGAAAAAUGUUUUGUUAUUAUGACUAAGCAUUAUUUGUUUGAAUCCUUGGUAUUAUGACUAAGCAUUAUUGUGUAUGUCAGCCAAAGAAAAAAAAUAUCAAAUGAAAAUAGUGGCAAUCAAAGGAGUGGCAUUUGAAUGAUACUGAAAAGACCAUUAUAUUUACACUGUUUCACUGCCCGACGAUGUCGACUCUUCUGAUGAAGAACUCUCUGAUCCAAGCAACUUGGAUUACUUGGAGAGGCCAAUCUCA